UACAGAGGUGGCAAGCGUUGUUCGGAAUUACUGGGCGUAAAGGGCGCGUAGGCGGUUCGGUAAGUCCUGUGUGAAAUCCCUCGGCUCAACUGAGGAACUGCACGGGAGACUGCCGGGCUUGAGUUCGGGAGAGGGAAGCGGAAUUCCGGGUGUAGCGGUGAAAUGCGUAGAUAUCGGGAAGAACACCCGUGGCGAAGGCGGCUCUCUGGAACGCAACUGACGCUGAGACGCGAAAGCGUGGGGAGCAAACAGG
rnacentral:rRNA from 1 species